rnacentral:lncRNA from 1 species
AGUGGCAUCAUUGCACUGUGACUGUGCAGGUCCCAAACAGUAUGGACAUGAAUGUCCUCAAGCUGCAUGUUAGCAGGGCUUCUAAUUCCAUCUGCAAGUGAUAGUGUGUGGAGCUUAGUUGCACAGAGCGCAUGUUACUGGAGGAGAUAUGGGUCUGUGUCAUCCUGCAUGGGAAUGAUCCUAAAAACAAAGUGAUCAGUGACUGCUCAGGACUGUGGAAAGGUCACUUGGAGCAGUGGGAAAAGAUAAAGCAAUACCUGCCCUGUCUUCCUAACCUUGGAGGGGUCAAAAAAGUGAUGGGUGUGAAAGCAUUUUGUAAACUGUAGUGCAAGCAUACGGCAGGGGAGUGAACCAUACUUUCA